rnacentral:lncRNA from 1 species
AUCCAUGGGAGAAGAAAGUGUCCGAUUUGGGAGUUGAAGAUUACAAACGUUUUGUUGCUGUGGAACCCGUUGCGGUCGAGAAACCGAUCAUAUUGAAACCUAGACAAGAGUGGAAAGGAGUACUCCAAGUCUCUGUGGUUCCUUCUGGUUGCUCCAGAAAGCCAUGCAUUCCACAUACUUAAAAACUUAAAAAUGUUCUUGAAGAUAUACUUUAUGUUACAGAAUCGUAUGUGAACUAGUCAGGAUUCAUACCGGACCUUACCAGUGUAUUUGUUUUGUAACUUUAGUAUUCUUGGAUCAUUAUAUCUGCAAUAAUUGAUAUUUUCAAUAAGAAUUUCAAUUUUAUUUCUCUAGUGUACUUGCCAUAUACAUUUUUCCGUUGUUGAUUAAUACAAAAUAUUUCAGUUUUCAACUAAUGAUGUAAAUAAAAUAUUGUCAAGAAACAGAAAAAGAAAUGAGAACAGAUGGAGAAAAAAAUGUCGAGAAGAUAGUUUCAAGACCAACGAUGCGUUGGACUAGUUGUUUAUUGAUUGGAGUUGGUUCUAUUGUACUAUUAGUUCGAUUUUCCCUGAGGAUACUUUACCUCAUGACACUGGUAUGACCACCGGCUGAUCUCAGGUCUAAGGAAAGAUUAGGGACUUGGUUCAAACUCUUCCUAGUUUACCAAAAAAAAAGUUCGAAGGAAUAAUAAUAAAAGUGUUGCAUUGAGAUUUGUAACGUGCUAUCGAGCGAUCAUAUUAUAAUCCGUGUUUUUAAUAUAGCAAUAUGUGUAUGAAUCGUAAGGCGACGAACAAGAGCAGAUGUGGCGUUAUCGCUGAUUUUGAGCAAGAUGGGAUAAAAUAAGACUUUUCUUUAUAUGGCCAACGUAAUGAACUCCUUUACUACAAUAUUUUUGGUCAACAUAAAUAGUCUUUUCUUAAAUUAAAUGAUUGGAACUGUACGAUUUAUUUCUGUUUUUAGGCUUUGUUCUUUUUUCACCUUCUGUUUCUUUGGUGUAUAUAUGGAACGAAAAGAUAAAAGAACUUGGACAAGGUAUCUUCUUCGUGAGCUACAUUGAAGGAGAAAAUAAAUAAAUAUGGGGAAUAAAGGAAAUCUCGGAUAUCUCAUCUUCUUAUGGGCAACUCUCGUUGCAGUAGUCGCCAUGGCCACCGCGCAGCGUCCCUUUGAGCGGACUAAGGGCAUCAAUGGUCUUGAAAAGAUCAUCGUCCGUGACGAUCGUGGCAGAUCUUUUGAGGUAUUUGUUUUGGUUUUAAUAAGAUAUAUAUUGCUUUAGUAAAAAAAGAUAUUGCUAAAGCGUAUGAUAGUAAAAAUAAAAUAAAAAUUGAAGUUGCAAAAUGAGAGAAAACAUGUAGUUUGGAAAAUGAAUAAACAAAAAUGAGAGGAAAUAUGUAGAUUGAAAAAGAAUGACAUUCCCUUAUGCGUGUGACUGGAUAAAUUUGCAGAACCAUAUAAAAAUGUUGCAAACUUAAUAUGUACACCUAUUAAGAAGCAAAUAAUAUAUCUAAGAAGCAAAUAAUACCUUUUAAAAUAAUGAAUGUCAAUAUAUUAUCCUACAGGGUGGAUAUUCAAAACUUAAUUUGUUUUGGUCUCAAGUCAUGUUUUCAGUAGGGUCUCACUAUAAAUUAAUUAGUGAUUUAUGCUACCUAGACUUCAACUUCCGAAUUGUUUGGGCAUUAUCUUAGUAUAAUACUUUCAGGUUUACUUGUAUGGAGGUCAAGUAGCUUCUUGGAAGAAUGAGAAAGGAAAGGAGUUACUUGUUAUGAGUAGCAAGGUACUUCAGAUUCAGUCAUCAAUCUUUACUUCAUUUUAGGCAUGUAGAUGAACAGAUAAGUAGUUACUAGCCUAUAAGUAUGAUCUCCAGAACCAAAGGAACUAUAAAAUCAUGGGUUGUAUAUUGUGCAGGCUAUAUUCAAGCCUCCAAUACCAAUUCGUGGAGGAAUUCCGAUAUUGUUUCCGCAAGUAUGUGCUUUCAGAUUAUUAUUAUUAUUAUAAUUUUUAAACAAUUCUUUUUUUUAAACAAUUCUUCUUUGUGUUUCAAAAAAAAAAAAAAAAAAAAAAAAAAACCUCAUCUUAAAUCGCUUGAUCAUAAAUGUUCAUGAUUUGUAACCCCUCUGUAAACUCUAUAUAUAUGAUUUUCAUCUUUGAUGAACUCAAUCUGCAUCUCCACAAAACUCAUUGAUUUCUCUUAUCUUUAACCAUCUUCUAAAAAAAUGCUAUAUCUGCCUCUCCGGUUUCUCAAACCGGCAAACUUCAAUAGAUUAGAAUGAAAUGGGUAACCGGGGUAUCGGCGUGGAUAUUGGAUAAGGUUCAACAGCAGGCAAACAAGACUAUUCUUGUUGUUCAACAAAAUAAAGUCUUCUCUCUUAAUGAAAUUAGCGAGUUGUACAUUCUUACUCGUUUUAUUUUUUGUCGUUGACUUUUUUAUUCCUUCUCAUUGGCCUAUUUAAUAGAAACUUUCAACAAGGUAUCGUCCUCGUGAGCGAACACUGUGAGGAACGACGAUUCACGAUGGGGAAUAAGGCAAAUCUGAUCUUCUUAUGGGCUACGCUGGUUGCAGUAGUCGCCAUGGCCACGGAGCAUCGUCCCUUUGAGCGGACUAAGGGCAUCAAUGGUCUCGAGAAGAUCAUCGUCCGCGACCGUCGCGGUCGAUCUUUCGAGGUACUCUUCUUUGUCUGAUUAUCAUAUACGGAACAACCAGAUCAGCCCGUGUUAAUGUUUGCUAAUUAUUAUCAGUUUUGACUUUUGAUCUGAUGAUCGUUAUGUAUAGCCGACAGUUGGUUUCCACUAAUCUUUUUAGAAUUCAAUUCUAUAUAUAAUUCAUUUUCUUCAAUAUUCUUACAUAAUUUCAGGUUUAUUUGUAUGGAGGUCAAGUGACUUCUUGGAAGAAUGAGAAAGGAGAGGAUUUACUUUUUAUGAGUACCAAGGUACUUCAGAUUCACCCUUGUAUAUGAGCUUUUAUGAGCUCCAAAAUGAGUGAGAUCUGAGAUAAUGUGUUAUGUGCUGUGCAGGCUAUAUUCAAGCCUCCAACACCUAUUCGUGGAGGGAUUCCAGUAUUGUUUCCGCAAGUAUGUGCUUAAGAAUGUUCUUUUUUUUCUUACUAUGUUUAUUGAAUGUUGUAUAAGUGUUGUUAAUGAAAUGCUCUUUUCUUUUUUUUUUCUGUAAAUGCAGUACGCUAACACUGGCCCACUUCCCUCACAUGGGUUUGUCAGACAAAGGUUUUGGGAAAUUGAUGCUCAUCCACCUCCGUUACCAUCACAUCCUUCUUCUAGUGCUCACGUUGACCUCAUCCUAAAAUCAUCCGAAGCUGAUUCGAAGAUCUGGCCUAAUAAGUAAAGAUUUUUAAACCUCUCUUUUCUUUCAUACUCUUAUAUCAUUUUUCAAUAUGUUAUGAUAUCCCACAUUAAAAAUGAAAAUGAUUCAUAAUCAAAAUAUAAAUCAUAUGAUAUACUAACAUAUAAGUCUUUUUAGUUUAAUUCUCACUUGAAAGCAACCUUGUGACCAGCUCUUUUAUGUCUUUCAGAUUUGUAUAUCGCCUGAGAGUAGCAUUGGGGCAUGGUGGAGACUUGAUUUUGACAUCUCGUGUUAAAAACUCUGAUGUAAAGCCGUUUAACUUCACUGUUGGUCUUCACCCCUAUUUCUCUGUUUCCGAUAUCAGGUAAAUCUCAUCGCAAUUUUUUUUCAAAUAUUUCGUUGUGUUGGUAUUAGUAUAUAAAGUUAUACAUCUAUUUGCUUCUUGUGUUCAGUAAAAUCCAGGUGGAAGGAUUGCAAAAUUUGGAUUAUCUUGACCAACAAAAGAACAGAACACGUUUCACUGACCAUGGCAAAUUUAUAACUUUUAGUUCACAGGUAAGCUUAUCUCUUUUUUUUCAACUGCUUAUAUCAUCACUAGUAUAAAACAACACUGCUAACUCUUCAAAAUAGCUUGACAGGCUUUACCUAAGGACUCCAAAAAAGAUCAGAAUCGUGGACCACAAUAAAAAGAAGACAAUCGUGGUACACAAGGAAGGAUAUGCUGAUGCAGGUAAUGCUUCUUAUACAUAAUUUUAUGAAACAAAUGGACACAGAAACAUUUUAUUCUAGUAACGAUGGAUCAUUUAUAAUGAUAAUACAAUAUGCAGUGGUGUGGAAUCCAUGGGAGAAGAAAGUGUCCGAUUUGGGAGUUGAAGAUUACAAACGUUUUGUUGCUGUGGAACCCGUUGCGGUCGAGAAACCGAUCAUAUUGAAACCUAGACAAGAGUGGAAAGGAGUACUCCAAGUCUCUGUGGUUCCUUCUGGUUGCUCCAGAAAGCCAUGCAUUCCACAUACUUAAAAACUUAAAAAUGUUCUUGAAGAUAUACUUUAUGUUACAGAAUCGUAUGUGAACUAGUCAGGAUUCAUACCGGACCUUACCAGUGUAUUUGUUUUGUAACUUUAGUAUUCUUGGAUCAUUAUAUCUGCAAUAAUUGAUAUUUUCAAUAAGAAUUUCAAUUUUAUUUCUCUAGUGUACUUGCCAUAUACAUU